AUCAUGUUCCAAUGCAUUAUAAUGUUGAGUAUUCAAAGUUAGGUUGUUUUCCAGAACUGGUUCUCUCUUAAAGGUCAAAAC
ensembl:misc_RNA